rnacentral:rRNA from 1 species
GAUCAUGGCUCAGGAUGAACGCUAGCUACAGGCUUAACACAUGCAAGUCGAGGGGCAUCAGUUUGGUUUGCUUGCAAACCAAAGCUGGCGACCGGCGCACGGGUGAGUAACACGUAUCCAACCUGCCUCAUACUCGGGGAUAGCCUUUCGAAAGAAAGAUUAAUAUCCGAUAGCAUAUAUUUCCCGCAUGGGUUUUAUAUUAAAGAAAUUCGGUAUGGGAUGGGGAUGCGUUCCAUUAGUUUGUUGGGGGGGG